ACUCCUGAUCUGCCUUCCUGUGUUCUUAUUACAGACUCAAUGACAAAUGUAGGAGGAGUCUUUACAUAUUGGAACAGUAGCAGCAAAUCUCUCCUCUUUAUCUGAACACUGGAACCACCACGAUGUGUCUGUGCUCUCUGACUGUUUUUAUGAUCAUACUAAGGAACUGUGUUUCACAGUCAAUAGCACCACUAGAGGACAAAAUGCAGGUGCAUGCUCUCGAAGGUGAGAGAGCUAAUCUCUCCUGCAAGUAUGAUAAAGCAGACUAUCUGUUUUGGUACCGUCAGUAUCCUGGAUCCAGACCAGAGUAUUUACUGACGAUCAUCCUAUCAACAAAAUCUGUAACUCCAGUCCUCCAGCAACUGAAAGCUGAAGUGGAUGGAAACAGAGUGGAUCUGUUGAUCUCCUCUGCUGCAGUAUCAGACUCUGCACUCUACUACUGUGCCAUGAGGCCCACAGUGACAGGAAACCCAGCUACACUGUACACAAAGUGUUUCAUAUGACUCACACAGGGCAGUGCUGUUA